AGACUCUGAUGAAGACACAGGGAGAGAGAAGUCAAACCCAAGACUUUGGUUUUUUUGUCCAUUUGUUCUUCAGCCUUCGGAAGAGAAAGCUCUCAGUGAGACUGCCUCUAGAUGUUCUCACAUACACAACAGGUUGAUAAAAGCCCAACGUGUGCACAUGAAGACGGACCAGAGCUGAGGACCAAACCCAGGGCCUUGGGCUUGCUAGGCAAGCGCUCUGCCACUGAGCUACUAUACUCCCAACCCCUUCACCUUGCCAUUCUGACCUGGAAGCAGUCAGUGUUUGGAGCAGGAAACUCUUUUUCUUGUAGGAAAAAGAGUGCUCUCCCCAUCUCUUUGAAGGUGGCAGCUUGCAGAAAGGAAACCAAUGGACUACACCAUUGGAGAAGAAGCAGCUGGCUUCAGACACCCCCAGGCUACAGGAUAGCUUCCCCAGAGAGACAUGGAUAUGGGCCACUGAGGUCAGCCAUUCACUGUGGAUUUACACAUGGAGAGAAGAGCUUGGUGGCCUAGGCGGCUCUCUUCCUGACCAGAGCCUUGGCUGUUCUUCUUCCAAACAUUUUUCCAGACAUUCCACCUGCACUUGUUUACCUCUGUCUCACCUCUGACAGACAUCAUGUUCAGGUUCAGCUUCACAUCUAACUCUGGCUUUGAUCUGUGAGUUCAUCUUGUCUUUCCCAGCUCCCCUCACUCC
rnacentral:lncRNA from 1 species